rnacentral:rRNA from 1 species
UACGGAAGGUGCAAGCGUUGCUCGGAUUUACUAGGCGUAAAGAGCGUGUAGGCGGUUAUGUAAGUUGAAUGUGAAAUUUCCUCGCUUAACGAGGAGCCUGCAUUCAAAACUGUAUGACUUGAGUAGGGGAGAGGAGAAUGGAAUUCCUGGUGUAGCGGUGAAAUGCGUAGAUAUCAGGAAGAACACCUAUGGCGAAGGCAGUUCUCUGGCCUCAAACUGACGCUGAGACGCGAAGGCGUGGGGAGCAAACAGGAUUAGAUACCCCCGUA